GCGAAUGACAUCGAUUCUCAAUUAGUCCCGAUGGGGAUCGAACAUUGAACUGAACUGCGGAUUCAGUGAUCGCUAAUUAACUCGAAACCUCUCGUUUUCCGCCAACUCGACGGAUCAUUAUCAAAGCAUUUCCACCGACUAAGCGCGUGUGAACGUUCGCGUGAGAAUCAACAUCGCCAACCACAGACUAGAACUCUAGAGUUCGAACUAGUUUCGUCUUAUUUUGCGUUUUCUUUUUACAACUCAACUCAAUUUUCAGCACGUGUGAUUUGAUGGCUGAUAAACUUUAUCACAAGCCAACGAUCGAGCCGGACAUUGUCCUAGACACGAGAGCAAAACUAUUCAUCAUUUAAUCUUUUCUCCACUUCGUCUAACAAUGCAGGUUUUCAAGUGGAGAUUCUCGACUCGGAUGGGUGAGCAUCUGCGACGUACGACCAGACGCCGAGGUUGAUUGCGUGCUUUUGAUGGUCCUGGUCGAAUGUCUACCUUCAAACUCAAAUGUCUCGAAAAGGGCUAAACUCUGGAGGCGGUUGUCUACACUUUUUCUCUCUCCUGGACCAAUGUCUUAAGAAAUGCGAGUACUUUUUACAAAGUCGGAUACAGUCGCCCACGUGUUAAGAAGUUAAUUCAGCUUCGAGGCAACAGUGAUGCCUUUUGGAAUCAGUCCCCUGAUCCUUUCCAUUUGAGACUUCACAGUGGACAGUUCAGCCUUGCUCUACCAGACCACCGCUGCGUAGGUGCUUAGGGCCAUCGCAGUCGAGUGACCAGCCCUAUUGGGAUCUGAAAUACAGCGACCCUAGAUGUUAGGUUUCCGCACGUGGUGGUGUAAUGAUCAUGUAGCAGCCGAUGGUCUUGUGAUCGUCAUGUGGUGGUCAAACCGUGAUGUGGUGGUUGUGAGGUAACCCACGGUAGCGUGCUGAGCUAGAGUUGUUCCAAGUAAAAUUGUAAGUCUGACCUCUAGGGACCCUGGUCAGAUGAAUAGAUCUUGCAUGACAAUAUCAGUUAAAGAUUCAGAUACUGGAGACCGGAUCACGUUUUUAAAGACGAAUCUAGAAGAAGAAGCUAGAGUGCAGGCAGUUUUGCAUCUCCCGGCUGAACCUGUUUUACAUCUGGCCUUAGAGUAAAUAAUUUAAUGCUUCUUUAUGGCUGAAAAAAUUUAUUUUUUAG